UGCAGUUGUUCUUGCCCCUCCCGCCCCCCAUUAACCCAGCGUAAAAUCCACUCCCCCUUCUGGCAGCCGUCCCCUUCUCCCCAUCUGCCCUUAGUGCCCGUGCCAGCCUGUGCCCCUCCGCCUGCCUUCAGCACAACGUGCCUUCUGGUUCGGAGCCCGUUCAUCCUCUGCUCCCCGGCGCUGCCCCAGCAAUCACCUCCCUCCUGCCUCGUAGCUGGCCUGUGUGCCGACUGAUCCACCGCGUCUCAGCCUGGGCCCUUCCUCUGCUCGGGGCAAACAUCUCGGCUCUUCCUGUCCCAUCCCUGGUGCUGUUCCGGGCCGGGCCAAAGUCCGAUUGCUUUACGGCUGCAGGGAAGUGUCAGACGCAGGCAGCUGUAAAGAUUGUGCCGUAUUUAUGGACUCGUCUUGUUAAUUUACAGGGCAGCUGGCUACCCACCAAGGUUUUGUGGGGUUAACUGUUGCCUGGGGUCAGGCUGAGGAUAAAACCCUGGUGGAAGUCAGGGGUCCCUGAUCCGAGUUCUCCUUGCAGCAGGAGCUGAGCAUGAGUCUGACGAGCUCAUGUCCGGGCCGGGGAAUGAUCUGACUGCUAAACAGAUCAAACCACCCCAGCCAUGGUGCCUAGCCUGACUCUGCUGGUGCCAUCUGCCUCAGGGGCUGGGAUCAAGAGGCGGGUGAGGGGAUUUUCCUCUGAUUCCCUCCACUAGGGAAAUGCUACACAAAUGUCCCCUGUGCUGUGGUCAAUAUCACUCUGCUGAGAUGUUAAAAGUCAUAAGCUGUACGCUGGCUGGAGAUUCUCCACCAGGAUGUGCGGCUUCCACAGAGUUCAACUUUUUUCCCCAGGAAAAUUUUAGGGUUUUUUCCCCUGACACUUUUCAAUUUUCUGUUGAGAAAAUUUUUAAAUAAAAUCUUUUGUCUGAGGCUGACCUGACUCUGAGCCGUCUGGUUUGUCGAGCUCUACUGCAAUGGUUCCUUGCAGGUUAGUUCAGCGUUAAUCUGCUCCUAGGUGAGCACUGCCUCCUGGUUGUUGUGAUUUUUGGUGCCUCGUCCCCCAUUCUCUGUGGCCCAGCUACCUCAGAACUACUAACUGGGGCAUGUGACCAAUUGCUGAAAUCAGCCUCUGGACCAGAUGCCCAGAGAGUAGCUAAUGGGAUGCUGGUUUUUAAAAAAGGCUCCAGGGGCGAUCCUGGCAAUUACAGGCCAGUAAGUCUAA